AAAACUUAAACGAAUGGCGAAAGACUUGAUUUUCAAUUCUGUUUGUUGGAACUAGCUAUGUUUGCCGAAGAAUGCUCCGAUGAGUCGACGAACAGAAGGUAAGGCCGAACGUGUAUGCUGGUUCUAAAUUAUACUUUAAUUUAAUGGCAAUAUAUAUUGAUUAAGUACUUAGUUCUUGUGAUAUCUUGAGUCGAAAUUGAAUAGUAUAAUCAUUUUCGUCUCCGAUUACGACUGCUUGCUAGCUUAUCUGAAGAACAAUAUUUUAUUAGUCCACGAUAUCUUUAUUUCUAUUUCCCGAUACUA